rnacentral:rRNA from 1 species
AGCGAACGCUGGCGGCAGGCCUAACACAUGCAAGUCGAACGAACCUUUCGGGGUUAGUGGCGGACGGGUGAGUAACACGUGGGAACGUGCCUUUAGGUUCGGAAUAACUCAGGGAAACUUGUGCUAAUACCGAAUGUGCCCUUCGGGGGAAAGAUUUAUCGCCUUUAGAGCGGCCCGCGUCUGAUUAGCUAGUUGGUUGAGGUAAUGGCUCACCAAGGCGACGAUCAGUAGCUGGUCUGAGAGGAUGAUCAGCCACAUUGGGACUGAGACACGGCCCAAACUCCUACGGGAGGCAGCAGUGGGGAAUCUUGCGCAAUGGGCGAAAGCCUGACGCAGCCAUGCCGCGUGAAUGAUGAAGGUCUUAGGAUUGUAAAAUUCUAUCACCGGGGACGAUAAUGACGGUACCCGGAGAAGAAGCCCCGGCUAACUUCGUG